rnacentral:rRNA from 1 species
UACGUAGGGGGCAAGCGUUGUCCGGAAUCAUUGGGCGUAAAGAGCGUGUAGGCGGCUCGGUAAGUCCGCUGUAAAAGUCCAGGGCUCAACCCUGGAAAGCCGGUGGAAACUGUCGAGCUAGAGUCCGGAAGAGGCGAGUGGAAUUCCUGGUGUAGCGGUGAAAUGCGCAGAUAUCAGGAGGAACACCAAUGGCGAAGGCAGCUCGCUGGGACGGUACUGACGCUGAGACGCGAAAGCGUGGGAGCGAACAGG